UACAGAGGGUGCAAGCGUUAAUCGGAAUUACUGGGCGUAAAGCGCGCGUAGGCGGCCCUGUAAGUCCGUUGUGAAAGUCAAAGGCUCAACCUUUGAAAGCCGAUGGAUACUGCAGGGCUAGAGUCCGGAAGAGGCGAGUGGAAUUCCUGGUGUAGCGGUGGAAUGCGCAGAUAUCAGGAGGAACACCAAUAGCGAAGGCAGCUCGCUGGGACGGUACUGACGCUAAGGCGCGAAAGCGUGGGGAGCGAACAGG
rnacentral:rRNA from 1 species